GAGUUUCGUUCUUGUUACCCAGGCUGGAGUGCAAUGGCUCGAUCUCGGCUCACCACAACCUCCGCCUCCUCGGUUCAAGCAAUUCCCCUGCCUCAGCCUCCUGAGUAGCUGGGACUACAGAAUUCUUCAUCUUGCCCCGUGGAAAGGAGCACAGGAACUAUUGGUCAAUUGACAAUUCUUUCAGUUUUACAAGGCACAUUUCAUUUCUUCCUUUGCAGUUUCAAAGAGUUUUGGGGGAGGAGAAAAACCUCCUAUUCACAAUCAGGAUGGCUUUGUUUGAGAUAAAAGUUUCACCCCGUGAAAUAUCUUUGCUGAGACGUAAUGAAUAGUAUUAGUAAUGUGGAAGAGGCUCAAGUGGCUAGAAAAUUAUCAAAACUUUUAGCAAUCAAUAGGCAAAUUGUGCUUUAGCCUGAAUGACUAUUACUAAAUAUGCCUAUUCAUCAUUUGUUAGCAUGUUACAGCUUUUGUAAAAAAA